GUACAUACAGUGGGCUCCCCUUCUCUCUCUUUUCCCUCUCGUCCCUUUGCCCCGGCUUCGUUCACCGUCAGCUUUCUCCUCUCUUCCCCUUGGCUGAGUCCAUUGUAGAGUCAUGCCGAAGCUUCCGCUCGAAUCCACCAUUAGCUCCUGAAUGUUGAGGUCAGAUCUGCGGUUCAACCACGGCAAGGAAACAGCAUUGACCUAACAGGGGUCGAUUAGUUACAAGAAUGUUGGAUUCAAAGCGUUCCAUAGGAGGAGGAUAGAUCACUUCCUUUCCGCAGGCAUUUAGGCUAAAGAUCCUUCAUUUCCAUCAACUUACUCUCUGACCAACCGGAUGGGGAAUGGUAGUACUGCACAUCCCUAUCCAGAAGAAAUCUCUGACAAAAGUCCUAGAUUCAAUGUUCCUGACCGUAUGCAGAUAGUCGAGUUUCUAGAAUGGAGAGCUAGGUUCCUUUCAAACAACAGAUUUUGAUUCUCCAUCAGUGGAUCUUCCUAGCUCAAAUGAUUUAGGCUCUAAAAGUCUUCGGCAUUUGAUGCUUGAACCUCCAACAGUUACUGAAAUCAUUCGAUCCAAGAUUAAACAAUGUCAGUUUUGUUACAUUAGAAGAAGGAGAGUGCGGCCGGUUGCAAAUAAUGCCUCGUUUGUUAGUUUGGAUAUCAAUGAAGAGUCUGUAGAGCCGUCUCCAUCUUAUCUAUCAGUUCAGCAAGAGAAGGAAGCUCCCAAUUAUGCAGAGAUUGACGAGUCAGGUUAUGUUAGCCCAGGCUCAUCUAUAUAUGAGGUUGGUUCUGAUGAUGAUAAUUACACGACUUCAACGAGAACUUCAAUGUGUUUGGGCUUGAUAAUACUAUAGUACCAUCUUCUGGAUUUAGCAACCGUUCACAGACAAAGUGUUUGUUUCCAAGUGAAACUGGAACAACAAAUAUUUUGGCUAAUCAAGAAAUAAUCCCAGAUUCUCAGGAACAAUCAUCUGAGCUUGAAUUGGGAUCAGAACCACCUGAAGUACAGCCAAACUGUAGCUACAUUGAAGCAGCUCAAGUUGUUAUAGGAAAUCAAUGCUGCAGUGAGGCUGGUAAAGAGAUUCCAGCUGAAGGAGAAACAGAACAAUGCGAAUGCCUUAAUGGGAAUCCAUUCUUGCAUGUUAUGACAAAGCUAAAUGAAGGCAAUGCUGAUUCAACACCAUGGAAGAAGAGUGUUGGGUAAUUCAGCUGCAGGGUGCCCAAAGGCAUGGGACCAAUUGCAAUUGCUUUGAGGAGGUAACUAAUGCCCUGUGUAUUAGUUUGGAUGUCAAUGAAGAGUCUGUUGGGCUUUUUCCUUCUUAUCAAACAGUGGAGCAAGAGAAAACACAACAAGCUCAUCAUUAUGCAGAAAUUGACGAGUAAGGAUAUUUUAGCUCAGACUCAUCUAUGUAUGAGGUUCUGAUGACUAGAAUUACAAUGACUUCAACGAGAACUUCAAUGAGUUUGGGCUUGAUACUACUAUACUACCAUCUUCUGACUUUAGCAACAAAUUAUAUUUUUGAGCCAAUUCUUGGUAUAACUUUUGACUCAGAGAAUGAAGGUUAUGAAUUCUACAAUAUGUACUCUUGGGAAGUUGGUUUUGGUAUUAAAAAGGCUACAAGAGUGACAAACAAGAAAGGGUUCCAUACGAUGCGUGACAUGAGUUGUCUUUGUUCUGGCUCGGAAGAACGAUCUAAGUACAAAACUAAGAAGACCGGAUGCAAGGCUAUGAUUCAGCUACUACGAUCCAACAAUGAUGGCUGGUAUAUCCCACGUAGUUGCACACAACUCUUAAGGCUACUAUUAUACUACUGAGAGUGAGGCACCAGUACACAGUGGCUCGGAAAUGGAAGGAAACAGCAACUCUUAUGGAGCUUAUGGGUCUUGUGCUGGCAUGAGGGAUUCGGAAUUGUUGAGAAUUAAGGCACCAUCCUAAAUGACUUAAGUUUCAUCUUAGGCUGUUGUGUUGUAUCUUUUGCUUGCAGCUUUAAACAUUGAAAGCUUCAGUGUUAUCUUGAAACUGGAUAUUGGGAUUUGGGAUUGUAUCGUGAGGUCAUUAUUACUAUUAUUUAGUUGAUGGUAUAUUCCAUUUACCUCUUA